AAAGGAUUCGGUUCACUUAAAAGAGCCAGUGCUUUCCGUCACUGAAGGAAGUGAAGUGCGCGGUGAAAAAGCAUCAUAAUGGACGCUACAGUGGCAUGUAAUAAUUGUGGCUUACCGUACACGUUGUCUGAGGGUGAGGUUGUGGGGAGGCUGCCCCAUGUGCUCUUCUGUGUGGAGUGUCUCUGCUCUCUGGAGUGUCCUCAGGACUCCAACUCUGUCCCCUCAGUCAGCUGUCCCGAGUGUAGGACGGUUUUUGCUAUGUGGGCCAAUCUCAGCUGAAAGCAGGUGUACUUGCGGCAGGUCCAUACUCUGUGUAGCGGUGUGUAUCUGCUUUUUCGAGUUCGUUAAGUCACAGACGGGCCACAGCUAAAAUUAAGGAGCUCAGCCGCCUGGAAAACACUUUUGACGGUUAAAUCAGUUAGGAUACUCGAGGCUGCAGUCAUUCUUCGUUUUCAAGAGGAAUCAUUUCAGCUGAAGAAGCCAUGCUGAGGGAGGUGUUAACUAAAUUAGAGAUGGUGCUGGACCAACAAACCACUGAGAUUGCUUCAACUACAGGAGGUCCAGGUGCAGCCUUUGGAUAUUGAUGAAGAUUUACUGCCCCUGCAAGACCUUCCUCAACUGUGUAGUCUGGAGCGAAGGAUGCAACAGAGCCCAGAUUACAAGCAAAAUCUGAAUCCUCAGUUUCAGGUAAACUGGUUGGAGCUUAUUGACAGGGCGGAUGUGCUCAACUGCACCUGGUGCAUAUUGGUGAUUACUAACUCCCUGGAAAAGAACCUCAAUUGGAGGGGAAUCAAUAGAAAGACUUCACUGUCCGCUCUCCAACUCGGAGAGGUCGUGAUUGGUAAGUAUAUCUGUUUACAUACAGAAUUAGCUGUCUCUCUCAGAUGAUAUGUAAGGGGUAAUCCACGGCUAGAUGUGCAUUAAACGAUUUUAGUGCAUGAUGUGGAGGAAAUGAUCCACUCGUUCAAAUCGUUUAAUGCACACCUAGCCAUGGAUUACCCCGCCUAUACCAUGGUCUUUCCACAAUUAAUAAUGUUAAAGCUGUCAUUGGUUUAGAAGUGCAAACUUUGAUUAGAAGUUUAAAAUGAUCGUUAAUUUCUAUUAGUUAGGUCGUUAGAUCUGGAAUUUUGCCCAUUAUAAAUCAGACACAGAGAUAAAGUAGUGUGAUGAGAUUGCAUUUAUUUGAAUGAAUUGACAGAUAUCUAUCAGAGAGAGAGAGAAGGAGAGAGAGAGAGAUCAAGCGUGUAUGAAUUACGUGCAUCAUAGGUGCCUCUCAGCAGUCAGUGUUGCGCAGCAGUAGUGUAGUAAAACUAAAAGUUGAAUUACUUCAGAAACAGUGAUGGUACCACCUCGUUGCUGAGAAAUAUCAUGUAGCUUUUCACCAGCAAAGCUAUUUUUAUUGUUAAAGUUGCAGAAAGCGCUGGCAAGAUGUGUCUGUUCAUAUGAAUGUCUCUGUAUGCUCAAGUGUCUGCGUGUGUGUGCAUGUAGGCUGCGCAUUGAUAUAGAAAUGAUUACGGUGAUCAAUCUGACGGGAACUCCCUGUGCAAUAAACGGUUAUAAUGCACACCUUCCAGCCAAUCAGAAUCCAGUAUU